AUGGAGAAUAAGAGCACCUCCUCCCAGCUGCCCACUGCACUGAGGCUAGGAAACACUGUCACUACCGAUAAAUCCACAAUAAUUGAGAAUUUCUAUAAGCAUUUUUCUACGGCUGGUCAUGCUUUCCACCUGGCUACCCCUACGCCGGUCAACAGCCCUGCGCUCCCCACAGCAACUCGCCCAAACCUCCCCCACUUCUCCUUCACCCAAAUCCAGAUAGCUGAUGUUCUGAAAGAGCUGCAAAAUCUGGACCCCUACAAAUCAGCCGGGCUAGACAAUCUGGACCCUCUCUUUCUAAAAUUAUCUGCCGAAAUUAUUGCAACCCCUAUUACUAGCCUGUUCAACCUCUCUUUCGUAUCAUCUGAAAUUCCCAUAGAUUGGAAAGCUGCCAUGGUCAUCCCCCUCUUCAAAGCGGGAGACACUCUAGACCCAAACUGCUACAGACCUAUAUCUAUUCUACCCUGCCUUUCUAAGGUCUUUGAAAGCCAAGUUAACAAACAGAUUACCGAACAUUUCAAAUCUCACCGUACCUUCUCUGCUAAACAAUCUGGUUUCAGAGCUGGUCAUGGGUGCACCUCAGCCACGCUCAAGGUCCUAAACGAUAUCAUAACCGCCACCGAUAAGAGACAUUACUGUGCAGCCGUAUUCAUCGACCUGGCUAAGGCUUUCGACUCUGUCAAUCACAACAUUCUUAUUGGCAGACUCAACAGCCUUGUUUUCUCAAAUGAUUGCCUCGCUUGGUUCACCAACUACUUCUCCGAUAGAGUUCAGUGUGUCAAAUCGGAGGGCCUGUGGUCCGGACCUCUGGCAGUCUCUAUGGGGAUGCCACAGGGUUCAAUUCUCGGGCCGACUCUCUUCUCUAUAUACAUCAAUGAUGCCGCUCUCGCUGCUGGUGAUUCUCUGAUCGACCUCAACGCAGAUGACACCAUUAUGUAUACCUCUGGCACUUCGUUGGACACUGUGUUAACUUACCUCCAGAUGAGCUUCAAUGCCAUACAACUCUCCUUCCGUGGCCUCCAACUGCUCUUAAAUGCAAGUAAAACUAAAUGCAUACUCUUCAACCGAUCGCUGCCCGGACCUGCCCGCCCGUCCAGCAUCACUACUCUGGACGGUUCUGACUCUCCUUCCAGACUCACAUUAAACAUCUCCAAUCCAAAAUUAAAUCUAGAAUCGGCUUCCUAUUUCGCAACAAAGCAUCCUUCACUCAUGCUGCCAAACAUACCCUCGUAA
rnacentral:lncRNA from 8 species